UACGGGGGGGGCAAGCGUUGUUCGGAAUUACUGGGCGUAAAGGGCGCGUAGGCGGCCAUCUAAGUCAGACGUGAAAUCCCUCGGCUCAACCGAGGAACUGCGUCUGAUACUGGAAGGCUUGAAUCCGGGAGAGGGAUGUGGAAUUCCUGGUGUAGCGGUGGAAUGCGUAGAGAUCCGGAAGAACACCGGUGGCGAAGGCGGCCUGCUGGGCAGUUUAGCUGACACUGAGGCGCGACAGCGUGGGGAGCAAACAGG
rnacentral:rRNA from 1 species